GACCUAGUGGUGCAUGGCUCACACCCACCACUCUUACCACACGACUCUUGUGGGAGGCCCCGGUUCGACUCCGGGCUAGGUCA